AGUAGAAUAGCAGGCUUAUCACAUGUUUAAUUCAAUCUGCUGUGAGAUUCUUCUAUUCUACUUU
rnacentral:pre_miRNA from 1 species